AAUCAACGCUGGCGGCGUGCCUAACACAUGCAAGUCGAACGCGAAAGGGACUUCGGUCCUGAGUAGAGUGGCGAACGGGUGAGUAACGCGUGGGUGACCUACCCUCGAGUGGGGGAUAACGUUCCGAAAGGGACGCUAAUACCGCAUGACAUUCUGGGUUUGAAGACCUGGAAAUCAAAGCCGGGGACCGCAAGGCCUGGCGCUUGAGGAGGGGCCCGCGUCUGAUUAGCUAGUUGGCGGGGUAAUGGCCCACCAAGGCGACGAUCAGUAGCCGGCCUGAGAGGGCGGACGGCCACACUGGGACUGAGACACGGCCCAGACUCCUACGGGAGGCAGCAGUGGGGAAUUGUUCGCAAUGGGCGCAAGCCUGACGACGCAACGCCGCGUGGAGGAUGAAGGUCUUCGGAUUGUAAACUCCUGUUGAUCGGGACGAAAAGCUUCGACCUAAUACGUCGAAGACUGACGGUACCGGUUGAGGAAGCCACGGCUAACUACGUGCCAGCAGCCGCGGUAA
rnacentral:rRNA from 1 species